UAUUUUUUUACGUAGCUUUAACCUGACGUUACACAACUCUGACUAGCCGUCUCCUCUGGAAGGUAUCUUCGUUAAUAGUUGGUCGAGUUACCUGCCGUAAGAUUAACUCGAUCCUACAGCAUGACCAUGCUUUAACUGAUAGGUGUACGGUUUUUUACUUACCCAAUUCUAUAAACGUUGGGAAUACACCUCUUAGUGUAUAGGAAUCAACCAUGUCUAAUAAAAAAAUGGUUAGUACGUAACAACGUAUUCCAACAAGUAAAAUAUUAAAGUGACAAAAAAUGUGAUAAUCGGGCUGUAGACAUCUUGGUAGAUCAAUACGAUCAUUAAAAAAAAACGCCCCUAUACGAUCAUGUAAAGUCGACCAACAUUGGAUGUCACAUACCUUAAAGUCUAGAGGUUAGAGGUCCCUCUUAAUUCAAACCCAGAAGAAGUCCUCUGUACACGUUCUUCGUUUCCUGUACGAACCGACAAACGGUUUCAACUUUAUUCAACUUUAUUGAAGGUAAAGAAUACUACUAACGAUGAGGUACAUAUAAAAGGACCAUUACCUGAAGAAAUAUCAGGUCUAAAUUCACGGUGCAUUCUUAAAAUAAGAGGGACACCUCUAAAAUUCUACGCGGUUGAAAAAGAGUUCCUGUUAAUCUCAUACACAUCAAGAUUAAAGAUUUGUAUUAUGUGAGAGUGUAAAUUAAAUGGUUUU
rnacentral:rRNA from 1 species